rnacentral:rRNA from 1 species
GGGGAAUUGUUCGCAAUGGGCGCAAGCCUGACGACGCAACACCGCGUGGAGGAUGAAGAUCUUCGGGUCGUAAACUCCUGUCGAAUGGGACGAACGGAUCGCGUGUGAACAACACGUGGUCGUGACGGUACCGUUAAAGGAAACCCCGGCUAACUCCGUGCCAGCAGCCGCGGUAAUACGGGGGGGGUAAGCGUUGUUCGGAAUUACUGGGCGUAAAGGGCUCGUAGGCGGCCAACUAAGUCGGACGUGAAAUCCCCGGGCUCAACCCGGGAACUGCGUCCGAUACUGGUUGGCUUGAAUCCGGGAGAGGGAUGCGGAAUUCCAGGUGUAGCGGUGAAAUGCGUAGAUAUCUGGAGGAACACCGGUGGCGAAGGCGGCAUCCUGGACCGGCAUUGACGCUGAGGCGCGAAAGCCAGGGGAGCAAA